rnacentral:tRNA from 1 species
CGGGGUGUAUUGGAAUGGCAGACAAAGGGGGCUUAAAACUCCCUGUCCGAAAGGGCGUAUCGGUUCGAGUCCGAUCUCCGG